UUAAAUCUAGAGAUGGGCUUAAAUGUAGU
rnacentral:sRNA from 1 species